AAUUCAACUUGGGCGCACUGGCUAACAAUUACAUUUUUAGAGUAGGGUACCAUAUAUUUGCCCCCCCCCCCUAUUCAACAAAGGCCUAAGUACGCCACUGCGGCUAGACUAGUUUAUAAUUUAUACACGCAUAGUUACAUACGAUCUGGGUAAAUAUAUUGGUGUGUGGGUAAUUACGUCAUAGGAAAAAAGUUCACACUGACAGUGACCGCGACUGGCGAGUAGGUUCCUACGCCAGUAUUUUAUGUCAUUAUAAAUAGAAUAUUCUAUAUAAUAUCACAAACAUAUUAAUAAUAAAUAUUUUUGUAAUUUUUUUUUAUAGAUUCAACAAUCCAAUUUAAAGAGUGUUAAGGAACUAUUAAAAUUAAAAAAUACUUCUAAUGAUCAAAUUAACAAAACCGAAAAAAUUGAAACUGAAGUAUUAAAUUCUGCAAAAAGAUCUAAGCACAUUCAAAAGUAUGAUCGUAAUUAACCCACCUUAUUAGAGUAUACUUCGGUCAAAAGAGCUGUACAAGUCAAGAUGAACUUGAUGUACCUAUUAGUCCAAAACCUUAUUGUGAACGCAUGUUUACCUUUUAGCAUAUAUAUAUAUAUACUAUAGUUGAUCAUUUAGAUUUCAAAACUUUAAUUCAAAAAGGCUUUCCUGGGAGAAAACGUAUGUCUCGUCCAAUUUUAAUGAAAAGAUUAAAUACCUAAUUCCAACACCAAUAUUAAUCCGUCUCAAAGAAGAAAUGACUAAUAUUGAAUAUUUUACUACCACUUCUGACUGCUGGUCAAUAUUUAAAAGCUCAUGCAUAGACAUUACUUGUCAAUAGUCAUUGGAUAAUUGAUGAAGAUUUAACUAGAAAACCAUGUGUAUUGAUCGUAAAACGAUUGGAAGGGAGACACACAUUUGAUGUAUUACCAAAGGAAAUGGAAUCUGUGUACUUAAAAUAUGAUAUAAGCAGCAAAAUAAGUUAUACAACUACAGACAAUGAUUCGAAUUUUGUUAAGAGUUUUAAGUAAGUGAUUGGUAUUACAUGAUAAAUUAUAAAAUUCAAAAUUUAUUAUUUAAUGAUUUUAAAAUAAUUCAUCUAUAGGCUAUUGGCUAUUGGCUAUUACUCACUAUAUGAGUUAAUUUUAUUAAUGAUAAAAUUAUAAAUUAUUAUAUCAAUUUUAAAUCUAUUUUCUACGCUAAUAAAACCAUUUACUCAAAACAAACAAAUCUCAUUAUAUCAAAAUCAUAUCCCCCUUCUAUAGGGUUAUCGACAAAUUACCGAUGAGGUAAGUUUCACAAAGACGCGCUGUGUGUAGCCGUAUAGGCCGCCGCGCCAGGGGCGCACGCACACACAUACACGCGUCAUCCGGCUUGGUGUGCAGCUGUCGCAUAGAUAUUACCAAGUAUAUUUGAUGAUAUUAUUGUGAAUAAAUUAAUUUAUAUAUGACCUAUUAACGUGGAACCUUGUUUUAAAUUUUAAAUC